UUGCGGAUCCUAUAUAAUCCAGCUUGAAAAUAAAUUGAUGGAGGUGCAGCAACAUAGCUCGGCAGUUCGGCGCAGCUCGGCAACUCGGCAGCUCGGCAGCAGCAGCUCGGGCAGCAACACAGUAGCUCGGCAACAGCAGCUCGGCAGCAACACAGCAAGCAAGGCAGCAGCAAUAACAAGCUCGGCAGCACCAGCAACAGCACCAGCAGCAAUAUAGCUCGGCAGCAGCAGCUCGGCAGCAACACAGCAAGCUCGGCAGCAGCAGCAACAAGCUCGGCAGCAGCAGCAACAGCACCAGCAGCAGCAGCAGCAACAGCAAGCUCAAAACAGCAGCGGCUUCAUCAUGAACAGUAACAGAUGCUAAAACAGGGGAGAACAGAGUGCUACAGUACAUACAAAUGAAACCCAAUUUAAAUCUUGUGGCCGUUAGCUUGCAUGUGCCAAGGUUCACGUGACCCAAAUCAAAAACACACCAUUGUGAUCUUUCUAGAAUAAUUGUUUAAAAUGCACCGUUUUCAUUUUAGGUUUAUAUAUAUAAUAGUUUGACACCUUUGGGGUAGACAAUUUUUAUCUUCUUCAACAUAUGAAAUAGAUUGGUGACCAAGCAAAUUUCAGCAGCUUCUUUUGCUGGUUGUUUGUGAAUGAUAUCAUGUAAUUAUUACUACACCUUCUGCUGGCUCCUCUUGACUGCUUCUCUCACUUCCCGAAGCUCUGAGCUGCAGAAGUAAGCUCUCCUAGUUUGGUAGCAGGCAUGGCAGUUGAUGGCCUCAAGUUGAUUUUCCAUGUUUUCUAAUCACAACUAGUUCCAAGCAUGUUUGGGCGUUUGCAGUAACUGGUUGAUAUAUUAAAGUGCUCGAGGUUAUUAUUUUUUUUUUUUUCCUUUUUGGUUUGGCGAUCAUGCAUAUUGAAUAAAUACACAUUCAUAUGUAGCUCUUAUUCCUUCAUAUAAAAACAAAACCAUUCAACAUUAUAACUCAUUCUGUAAAAUGGAUUCAGUAAUAUACUUGUGAAAUGCAACAGUAAUUUUUUUCUCAAAAUGGUUUUUUACAAGAAAUCCACGAAAUUUGCCAAAUACUUUUGGCGUCAAGGUCCUCUCUAAGAAAGAUGACUUCAACAACCAAGACAGCUUCUUGAGGGAAGUUCCGAUAGUAAUUUGGAGCUUCUACCAGUUAGGAGAGUUAUUUUAGGGGGGUGGAAAUGUUUACAAGUUGGUUUUGUUGUUUUUUUCUUGCACAACCAAAACCAGACCAACCUCAAAAGUAUAUGUGAUGAAUAUACGAUAGAAACCAUAACAUUCUAGGAGACUCAAAAGAGUUUUGUUUAUCUGUAUUGGGCCACUCUGGAUAGAUAUAUUGGCCAGAAACUUAAGAUGCAUAAACUGGUAACUCAAAAGACAAGAAAUAGUUCAACCUUGCAGGAUAAAAUCUUACAUGACCUAAUUGUUGACAGCUUAUAGUUCCAAGUUCUCCAUUUUAUCCAAAUUUCUGAACUCUCUUGUGGAUGUUGACCUGCUGACACGAUU